rnacentral:rRNA from 1 species
UACGUAGGGUGCAAGCGUUGUCCGGAAUUAUUGGGCGUAAAGAGCUCGUAGGCGGUUUGUCGCGUCUGCUGUGAAAACUCGGGGCUUAACCCCGGGCCUGCAUUCGAUACGGGCAGGCUCGAGUUCGGUAGGGGAGACUGGAAUUCCUGGUGUAGCGGUGAAAUGCGCAGAUAUCAGGAGGAACACCGGUGGCGAAGGCGGGUCUCUGGGCCGAUACUGACGCUGAGGAGCGAAAGCGUGGGGAGCGAACAGG